UGCGUAGGCGGCCAUGCAAGUCAGAUGUGAAAUCCCACGGCUCAACCGUGGAACUGCGUUUGAAACUGCAUGGCUUGAGGGAGAUAGGGGUGAGCGGAACUGAUGGUGGAGCGGUGAAAUGCGUUGAUAUCAUCAGGAACACCGGUGGCGAAGGCGGCUCACUGGGUCUCUUCUGACGCUGAGGCACGAAAGCUAGGGGAGCGAACG
rnacentral:rRNA from 1 species